rnacentral:lncRNA from 1 species
GGCAACCUGCUAGGGUCCUCUUCGUCAUUGUGGAAGCUUUGUUCUUUUGCUCUUUGCAAUAAAUGUUGCUACUGCUCACUCUUUGGGUCCACGCUGCUUUUAUGAGCUGUAACACUCACUGUGAAGAUCUGUAGCUUCACUCCUGAGCCCAGCAAGACCACGAGCCCACCGGGAGGAAUGAACAACUCCACACACGCUGCUUUAAGAGCUGUAAUGCUCACCGCGAAGGUCUGCAGCUUCACUCCUGAGCUAGCGAGACCACGAACCCACCAGAAGGAAGAAACUCCGAACACAUCUGAACAUCAGAAGGGACAGACGCCAGACACACUGCCUUGAGAGCUGUAACACUCACCGUGAGGGUCCGUGGCUUCAUUCUUGAAGUCAGUGAGACCAAGAACCCACCAAUUGCGGACACAUGGUCAUGUGGUUCAUUCAAUCAUUAUAAAGCAGACAACUUCUGAGCAAUUACCAUUUGCCAGGUAGGGGGCUAGGUAUUGAGGGUAUGAUGGUGCCACAGACACAGUCCUACUGCCCUCAAGAACUUACUGUCGAUUGCCCUGGCCAUUGGCCUUCUUGGGAGAAUGGAAGCAUUGGUGUGGGUCCUAGUGGCAUGGUUUGUGUUACUCUUCUCAGCUCAACCAGAGGCGAAAGGGAGGCCCAGUGGGGAAGAACAGAAAAGUAUGUUUAAUUGUUAUUAGAAGACAAUGUGAGAAAUGCAAGAGAGUAGGUAAAAGGUAUGAAGGACCUGAGAGAAGGAAGUCUUAGAAGUAGGUAGAAAAGUUUCCCAGAUGAAGCGACAUCUAAACUGACAUGUGAAGGAUAAGUAGGCGCUAAACAGGCGGGGGCCAGAUGAAAUGGAAGAAGAGAGGGAGGGCUUGCAGGUUGCAAAAGUUGGUGGGAGAAGGAUAGCAUCCUAUUUGCGUCUGUAUCCCCAAGGCUCAGCACCACGUCUUUCACAACAGACUUACAUUAAACAGAAUGAACUAAUUCUGACCCUUACC